AGCAUCAAUAUCAUUAGGAUGCUCAAGAGCGACAGCCUUCAAUAUUCGCAGAUCAAUCUGUGGAAAAAUAUCUU